rnacentral:pre_miRNA from 1 species
CCUUAUGGAUGAGCAAAGAAAGUGGUUUCUUAAAACAGAAUAUACUCCUUGUGAAGAUACUGUGAA